AUUUUUGUUGUGUUUUGAGGCAGUGUCUGGCUCUGUUGCCCAGGUUGGAGUGCAGUAGUGCAAUCUUGGCUCACUGCAGCCUCAAACUCCCAGCUUUAAGCAGUCUUCCUGCCUUAGCCUCCUGGGAAUCUGGGACUCUAGGCAUGUGCCACCUCACCCAGCUAAUUUUUAUAUUUUAUAGGGACAGGGUUUCUCCACGUUGUCCAGGCUGGUCUUGGAUUCCUGGGCUGAAGUGAUUCUCUUGCCUUGGCCCCGCAAAGUGCUGGGAUUACAGAUGUGAGCCACUGUGCCCGGCCUUUGAUGACCUUUUAAAAACCCAUUACUAACGAGGAUGAGAGGAAGAACAGGAUGGAAUCCUCUAGCCCUGGUUUGUGGCCUGCCUGACUUUCUCUAACACUCCCUGUCUGCUUCUCCUUCACAAUUUACUGUGUGCCUGGCAUAUGCCAGCCACCAACCACUAUAAACACCAGAUGAAUAAAAGAUACAUUUUUUAUGGUGAAAACCUAUACAUAGUCCUCAGUUAAACUAAUUGUUAAAUUGUUAAAAAAUCAUAUUUAUUCUGAGUCCUAAACUCUGGCACUUAAAAAACAAACAAAAAACAAGGCUAUUCCACUUUCAAUACACUGUUCUCUGGAAGAGGUACUGAGUGCGAUUGGGAAGGGCAAGGGAGGUUUGGUGAGGUGCAACCACCGACCAUAAAGGAAUUGACAUUUUUUCCCUUUAGGAUAUGUGAUUUCUUUGUCUGACUCAACCCGUUUCUUUAAGUAUUUAUGUUUCCUCCCAUAAAGUUCUACAGCCAUCUUUUUCAUGCUUCCUCAGUGUUCUAUAAACUUCUACAGUCCAUUUUUUAAAGCUUUUUAUGUAAAUUUUUGAAUAGGCAGUAAAUUUACAUGGUUUAAAAUUCAAAACAGUUCAAAAGUGUAAACUCAAUGAAAAGUUUCCCUCUUUCUUCUUCUCCUUCCUGUGGGUCCCUGAGACAUCCACUCCCUGCCUUGAGACAACCACUGUCACAGACGGCUUAGCUCAAUGUCAAACAAUACAAGAGAGUCCCAAUGUGAAGCCAUCAUUGCAGCACCCAUGUGGAACAAUGGCAAAAACAAAGAACCGGGGGAACCAGCUUCUAGGCCAGCAGUUGUGGAGUUGUCCGUCUUGUGAGCCAUCUGCGUUUCUGCUCUCUGAGGUAGGCCACGACUAAUUCAGAUGAGUCAGGAUAUCUGGAGAUUCUUGGACACAUGAGAAGGUGACUCUGGGAAAAUGUGAGAGUCUGCUAAUAUGGAAAGUCAGAACUUGGAGUCUUCAUAAUUUAGGGUACCAAGGUAUGUACCUUAGAGCUGAGGAAAUCCAAUCAUUUCGGUUCCAUGAUGAUUGAAGGAAUGAAGGAUAUGUAAGAGCCCCAAAUAAUACCAAGAAGAUGCUUAGUACAUAAUUGACCUCCCUCCCUUCCCUGGCUUUGCCCUAACCACCUGUAAGGUUGUGCUUGAUUAAGCACACAGCCAAACCAGGCUAUGUUGGGCCACAUGCUUCAGCAGCAGUAGACCAGUGGCUUGGGAGUUUGUGAUCAGGGAUAGGAAAUUCCUUUGGCUCUGCUAUGUUGUCCAUGAUACCAAUGAGACAAAGCUGUGAACACCACCAGAACAAAUGUCUGUUGACUGUGCCUUGCAUUAUCUUUACUGUUUUUGGGUAGAUUUUGAAAAUAUCCCCAAAGCAAUAAUUAUUUUGGUGUCUCUGGUUUCUAUCUAGGUUUUUUUUUUUUUUAAACGAAGUCAGCUUCUCAACUAA
rnacentral:lncRNA from 13 species